rnacentral:rRNA from 1 species
GACGAACGCUGGCGGCGCGCCUAACACAUGCAAGUCGAACGAGAGAUGAGGAGCUUGCUCCUUCAAAUCGAGUGGCGAACGGGUGAGUAACGCGUGAGGAACCUGCCUCAAAGAGGGGGACAACAGUUGGAAACGACUGCCAAUACCGCAUAAGCCCACGGCUCGGCAUCGAGCAGAGGGAAAAGGAGCAAUCCGCUUUGAGAUGGCCUCGCGUCCGAUUAGCUAGUUGGUGAGGUAACGGCCCACCAAGGCGACGAUCGGUAGCCGGACUGAGAGGUUGAACGGCCACAUUGGGACUGAGACACGGCCCAGACUCCUACGGGAGGCAGCAGUGGGGAAUAUUGCACAAUGGGGGAAACCCUGAUGCAGCGACGCCGCGUGGAGGAAGAAGGUCUUCGGAUUGUAAACUCCUGUUGUUGAGGAAGAUAAUGACGGUACUCAACAAGGAAGUGACGGCUAACUACGUGCCAGCAGCCGCGGUAAAACGUAGGUCACAAGCGUUGUCCGGAAUUACUGGGUGUAAAGGGAGCGCAGGCGGGAGAACAAGUUGGAAGUGAAAUCCAUGGGCUCAACCCAUGAACUGCUUUCAAAACUGUUUUUCUUGAGUAGUGCAGAGGUAGGCGGAAUUCCCGGUGUAGCGGUGGAAUGCGUAGAUAUCGGGAGGAACACCAGUGGCGAAGGCGGCCUACUGGGCACCAACUGACGCUGAGGCUCGAAAGUGUGGGUAGCAAACAGGAUUAGAUACCCUGGUAGUCCACACCGUAAACGAUGAUUACUAGGUGUUGGAGGAUUGACCCCUUCAGUGCCGCAGUUAACACAAUAAGUAAUCCACCUGGGGAGUACGACCGCAAGGUUGAAACUCAAAGGAAUUGACGGGGGCCCGCACAAGCAGUGGAGUAUGUGGUUUAAUUCGACGCAACGCGAAGAACCUUACCAAGUCUUGACAUCCCUUGACGAUGCUGGAAACAGUAUUUCUCUUCGGAGCAAGGAGACAGGUGGUGCAUGGUUGUCGUCAGCUCGUGUCGUGAGAUGUUGGGUUAAGUCCCGCAACGAGCGCAACCCUUAUGGUCAGUUACUACGCAAGAGGACUCUGGCCAGACUGCCGUUGACAAAACGGAGGAAGGUGGGGAUGACGUCAAAUCAUCAUGCCCUUUAUGACUUGGGCUACACACGUACUACAAUGGCGUUAAACAAAGAGAAGCAAGACCGCGAGGUGGAGCAAAACUCAGAAACAACGUCCCAGUUCGGACUGCAGGCUGCAACUCGCCUGCACGAAGUCGGAAUUGCUAGUAAUCGUGGAUCAGCAUGCCACGGUGAAUACGUUCCCGGGCCUU